AAAUUGAAGAGUUUGAUCAUGGCUCAGAUUGAACGCUGGCGGCAGGCCUAACACAUGCAAGUCGAACGGUAACAGGAAGCAGCUUGCUGCUUUGCUGACGAGUGGCGGACGGGUGAGUAAUGUCUGGGAAACUGCCUGAUGGAGGGGGAUAACUACUGGAAACGGUGGCUAAUACCGCAUAACGUCGCAAGACCAAAGAGGGGGACCUUCGGGCCUCUUGCCAUCAGAUGUGCCCAGAUGGGAUUAGCUUGUUGGUGAGGUAACGGCUCACCAAGGCGACGAUCCCUAGCUGGUCUGAGAGGAUGACCAGCAACACUGGAACUGAGACACGGUCCAGACUCCUACGGGAGGCAGCAGUGGGGAAUAUUGCACAAUGGGCGCAAGCCUGAUGCAGCCAUGCCGCGUGUAUGAAGAAGGCCUUCGGGUUGUAAAGUACUUUCAGCGGGGAGGAAGGUGUUG
rnacentral:rRNA from 1 species